UGGGCUUUUUGUUUCUCUGUCUCCUCCAU
rnacentral:piRNA from 1 species